rnacentral:tRNA from 4 species
UUCGAAGUGCGGGUGAUUUAAGGGAAGCGGACUCAAAAUCCCCCGCCCUUAAAAGCGUGUGGGUUCGAGUCCCGCCUUCGGCGCCA